GACGAACGCUGGCGGCGUGCUUAAUACAUGCAAGUCGAGCGGUAAGGCCCUUUCGGGGGUACACGAGCGGCGAACGGGUGAGUAACACGUGGGUGACCUGCCCUCAGCUCUGGGAUAAGCCUGGGAAACCGGGUCUAAUACUGGAUAUGACUCCAUGACGCAUGUUGUGGGGUGGAAAGCCUUGUGCGGCUGAGGAUGGGCCCGCGGCCUAUCAGCUUGUUGGUGGGGUGANGGCCUACCAAGGCGACGACGGGUAGCCGGCCUGAGAGGGCGACCGGCCACACUGGGACUGAGACACGGCCCAGACUCCUACGGGAGGCAGCAGUGGGGAAUCUUGCGCAAUGGGCGAAAGCCUGACGCAGCGACGCCGCGUGAGGGAUGACGGCCU
rnacentral:rRNA from 1 species